AUUGAACGCUGGCGGAAUGCUUUACACAUGCAAGUCGAACGGCAGCACGGGGGCAACCCUGGUGGCGAGUGGCGAACGGGUGAGUAAUACAUCGGAACGUGCCCAGUCGUGGGGGAUAACGUAGCGAAAGCUACGCUAAUACCGCAUACGAUCUCUGGAUGAAAGCGGGGGACCGCAAGGCCUCGCGCGAUUGGAGCGGCCGAUGGCAGAUUAGGUAGUUGGUGGGGUAAAGGCUCACCAAGCCGACGAUCUGUAGCUGGUCUGAGAGGACGACCAGCCACACUGGGACUGAGACACGGCCCAGACUCCUACGGGAGGCAGCAGUGGGGAAUUUUGGACAAUGGGCGAAAGCCUGAUCCAGCCAUUCCGCGUGCAGGAUGAAGGCCCUCGGGUUGUAAACUGCUUUUGUACGGAACGAAAACGGGUCCUGGUUAAAUACCUGGGGCUAAUGACGGUACCGUAAGAAUAAGCACCGGCUAACUACGUGCCAGCA
rnacentral:rRNA from 1 species